rfam:Oryza glumipatula chromosome 4, whole genome shotgun sequence.
AAUAAGCACAGUUUUACACUGUUCAUAUCAAACGUUUGACUGUUCGUCUUAUUUGAAAAUUUUUUACGAUUGAUAUUUUAAUUGUUAUUAGAUGAUAAAAUAUGAAUAGUAAUUUGUGUAUGACUAAUUAUUUUUAUUUUUUUUAAAUAAGAUGGACGGUCAAACAUUAAACACGAAUAUCACAGCUAUACUUAUU